rnacentral:lncRNA from 1 species
GUCUGACAGUCAUGACCGCAGCAGCCGGGUGUGAGGGCAGGGCUGGGUAUUCGGAGACCUUCAGAAGCCUGGUCACGGAGGGCCUGCCCAGGGACCCCCCUGCCUCUCCCCCCAGGCCCCACGGCGGCAGAGACUCACAGGCAAAGAACUGCCAGGGCUGGUAGGUGCGGCCGAAGUCCAUGGACCGCUCCAGCACCCAGAGGUCCGGCCGGGGUGAGUUGGCAAACUUGAUGAGGACGUAGGCCACGUGGAAGACCUGUGGGCCGAGAGGGCGUCAGGGGAGCCAGGGGCGCCUGGAUUCCCAUGCUCCCAGGGGCCUGGCUCAUUUUCUGCCCCUCAGACAGGGGCCCUGGACAGCUGUCCUCGAGGGCCUGGUGGCUGCACAGAUGGUCACAGGAAGGGAAGCCCGCGCUGGAGGACUCCCAUCUGUCUCUGACCUGGUCGCGGCUCCCAGGGCCACACCGGCCGCCCUCGCCAUGACCCGGAGCGAGCGCAGACCCCUGGCUUCGGGACCGCCCUUCCCCCUCCACGCCCCGCUCAGCUCAGCUGCCAGUGCUGACCUUUCCGCUGCUACAUGGUUCUGUGCAGAAAGAAAAAAAAAAGUCUUUUAAAGCAAAAGCCAAACAAAA